rnacentral:rRNA from 1 species
AACAGGAUUAAAUACCCUGGGUAGUCCACGCCCUAAACGAUGUCUACUAGUUGUUGGUGGAGUAAAAUCCAUGAGUAACGCAGCUAACGCGUGAAGUAGACCCGCCUGGGGAGUACGGUCGCAAGAUUAAAACUCAAAUGAAUUGACGGGGGCCCGCACAAGCGGUGGAUUAUGUGGAUUAAUUCGAUGCAACGCGAAAAACCUUACCUGGCCUUGACAUGUAACGAACUUUCCAGAGAUGGAUUGGUGCUCGAAAGAGAACGUUAACACAGGUGCUGCAUGGCUGUCGUCAGCUCGUGUCGUGAGAUGUUGGGUUAAGUCCCGCAACGAGCGCAACCCUUGCCAUUAAUUGCCAUCAUUUAGUUGGGCACUUUAAUGGGACUGCCGGUGACAAACCGGAGGAAGGUGGGGAUGACGUCAAGUCCUCAUGGCCCUUAUGGCCAGGGGCUUCACACGUAAUACAAUGGUCGGUACAGAGAGUU